AGAGUUUGAUCAUGGCUCAGAUUGAACGCUGGCGGAAUGCCUAACACAUGCAAGUCGAGCGGGGUGUAGCAAUACACCUAGCGGCGGACGGGUGAGCAAUACAUAGGAAUCUACCUUUCAGUGGGGGAUAGCCCGGGGAAACCCGGAUUAAUACCGCAUGAUGUCGCAAGACCAAAGCGGGGGACCGUAAGGCCUCGCGCUGAUAGAUGAGCCUAUGUCUGAUUAGCUAGUUGGCGGGGUAAAAGCCCACCAAGGCGACGAUCAGUAGCUGGUUUGAGAGAACGAUCAGCCACACCGGAACUGAGACACGGUCCGGACUCCUACGGGAGGCAGCAGUGGGGAAUAUUGGACAAUGGGCGAAAGCCUGAUCCAGCAAUUCCGCGUGUGUGAAGAAGGCCUUCGGGUUGUAAAGCACUUUAGGCAGGGACGAAAAAAUCGGAGUGAAUAACUCCGGUCUUGACGGUACCUGAAGAAUAAGCACCGGCUAACUCUGUGCCAGCAGCCGCGGUAAUAC
rnacentral:rRNA from 1 species